rnacentral:lncRNA from 1 species
AAGAGCUUCUCUGGACAGAAGUGAACACUGGAAAUUUCUAGAAGCAGUUUCGAGGCUGAGCUCUGAAAGAGGAGCCAUUGGUCUACACUUUGAAGAUGGGGUGAUAUUGAACAUGCCACUCACCGGGGUACCCUGUCCAAUUGCUGCUGCUGGAGAACUAGAAACCAUACGUGAGUGUUGACCACAUAGCCUUGCACCAUCCAGCUCGGCUUCUGGAGAACUAGGGACCACAUAGCCUUGCACCAUCCAGCUUGGUAGUUACUAGCCCUAUGUAUUGCUUUACAUGUAUUUUAUUUUCCUUGCUUUUUUAUCUUGUAAUCUGAUCAACCCAUUAGAAUUUGGAAAUUUUAGCAAAAGCAACCCAAGUCCUGAGUUUGUCCGUUUGUUUAGCUCAUGUCAAAAGGGGAAAUGGGAAAUUGGUUUCAUGGCAAUAGAAGGACAGGGAGAUGGUCUUAGGAACUGCAGACUUCAGGGACUCAAAUGAUGUCACGGCCACAAUUUAUCAUCGCCGUGAUACCCCCUUCUUGACUUUCUGGGCCCUGCGUAGUUUUUACUUGUACACUGGCUUCCUCUCCGAGCAAGACAUCUGACCUCUGGAGGCUUGCAUGGCUGUCUCCCUCCUCUGGGUCUGUUCCUUCCUUCAGGGAAAAGGGAGGGAGGAGUGGGGAGGGGGGCAGAGAGGAGGGAAGAGAAAGGCUUAUAAGCCUCGGGAAACUUAAUAAGGCUCCGGAGUUGAGGUUCCCCUCCACCCACAAGUUGCACAGAGAGCUCCGAGCUCCUCCGGUGACUCAGCUUUUGUGAGUCAUCACCCAUGCUAGGUGACAAAUAUUCCUGAGUCACCCCCACUCCUGUUAAGCGACCAUUAUUAAACUUAUUGGUUCAUCAAGCUGAACUUGGGAGGGGCCAUUCGUUGGGCUCUGUUGUUGGUGCCCUGACUUGGGUGCACGGAUAUUUGUUCAUGUCUCCCAAAGUCUUGGACUGAUUAACACACUCACCGUUGUCAUUUCUGGGGUCCCACGGCCACCCACGUGGCCAUCAGCAUUCAGACAAAAUGUCCAGUCAUCCCAGGUGCUGGCCUUUCUGGGGCUAGCCGUGCCUGCGCCAUCAACGUUCAUCCCAGGGACUUAUGGCCAUGUAAUGGAUGGGUGGCGUGAGUACAUAAGCCCCCAUACGCAUGCGCUAAGUGACCUUUAGAAGCAGAUACGCCCUACCCACUCUCUCCAUGUUUCUUCCAGACAGGCGUGUGCACACACCCUCUGCCUACUUUUUACUAAUAAAACUAUUAAGUGGGUUUUGUUGUCUCUCUUGUGGUGUGUUCGCGCACACAGUAAGUAAUACCAUCUCCACAG